GUGGUGAAUAGUAAUCCGACGUCUGAAAUUCACCCUCUACAUAUCGAGAUAUUUGUCGUUGAAAGGACGGAGUUAGACGUUGCCGUUGCUUCUGAAACCUCACCCUUUAUUUCCCUCUUUUCUCUUUCUCUCUCUUUCUCUACAUAUCCAAAGAUCUACCGCUGAAAGAACGGAGUUGAGGUUGCCGUUGCUUGCUGAAACCCGACCCUCUAUUUCCCUCUUUCUCUUUCUCUACCAUUUGAAACGAAAACCCUAUCUAUUUGAACCUUCUCUAUUCAUGUUCUGAACUGUGAAGACAAGAUUUAGGGGUUUUCAAGUUGCAUUCUUUGCUCAAUUGCACAUUCCCUGCAAGGUUACUAUUGGAGACGAAUUUAGGGUUUUCUUUCAAGCUUCUUCCUUUGCUCAGUCGAUUGUUCCCUGUUGCUGUCCAAGUAAAAGAUGCAUAUAUAUUGAGGAGAUGGACACGGACAGCAAGAAAAAUAGUUGUACAUGAUACUGAAGGAAAAGUUGUUGUGGAUGAUGUCCACUUGGAUUGUUCACAAAGGUAUAGGCGUAUUUGUCCUAAAUUGGUUAGGAUUGCAACAAUAGCAUCAAAUUCAUUUGAGGAUUAUGCUUAUGUGGACAAUGUUGUUGAUGAGAUCUAUAAAUAUCUGGAAAGUUUAAAUAUUAGCUUUGAUGGGCAGGAUGAUGAAAGAGUUCUAGUUAAAGAUACUGUUGUCAACAAUGGAGUAACUCUCAAGAAAAAAAAAAAAUAGUCAAAAAGGUGGUAGAUGCAAGAAGAGUUGGGUGGAAAAUCAAGGAAAGAAAAAGAAAAAAAAAAAUGUUAAGGGAAUGAUGGAUGAUUCUUCACAGGAAAUGCAACAAGCUUGUACACCUUUUGAAAUACACCAUUCGAUUCCACGUUUCGAAAUGCAACAAGCUUGUUCGCCUUUUGAACCUGACCAAAUGAAUGACAAUCAAAGUUUCGAUACUACAUUGCUGAGACGAUCACAAAUUGGUGAGGCCUAGUGAGGUUUGACUUGGGUUUACGACUUGGGAAUUUUCACUCGUCCAAUCUACAAACAAGAUGAUGACGGCACUGUUUUGCCAACUACCGGCACUAAUUAUGAGACAGUGGUCAUGGAUCACAUGGCCUAUAUUCAAGAAGCUGAACUCGACCAUGGACUCGCCCGUCAUUGUGGCGACUGUGCCUACAGAGGCCAAUGUUAUUGAGGAGUAGGAUUGCUAUUGAUUAUUCUUUUGUGUACGUACAAGCUUCCGCUAAGAUCAUGCAUUUUGAUGAUCUGAGGCUUUUGGGAGAUGUUAUAUCUUCUGUGUAUAUAUUUUCUGAUUAUAAAUUAUUCUGUAACCUAUGGAUGACUGUAAUUAUGUAUGGUAUCAUGUAGAAACACUGGAUGGUUAUGAUUUUAAUUUCCUUUAUAAUUGUGUUA